rnacentral:lncRNA from 1 species
AUUUAUCUUCUAGAAAAAAUCUGUCACAGGUCCUCAUCCAGCUACAAAGGAGGCCGGACAAGUGGCCAUCCUGUAUGUUGGAAAAGACAAAAUGAUCUUCGAGAACACAUAGCAACGUCGACCACACUCUGAAGUUAGCUCUAAUUAGACUCAAGGAGCAAUUCUGUAUGUCAGUAAGGGCAACCUGCUCGAUAACCCACUCAGAGCUGAAGAGGCUGGCGGAAAAC